AUUGAACGCUGGCGGCAUGCCUUACACAUGCAAGUCGAACGGCAGCAUGAUCUAGCUUGCUAGAUUGAUGGCGAGUGGCGAACGGGUGAGUAAUACAUCGGAACGUGCCCUGUAGUGGGGGAUAACUAGUCGAAAGAUUAGCUAAUACCGCAUACGACCUGAGGGUGAAAGUGGGGGAUCGGAAGGCCUCAUGCUAUAGGAACGGCCGAUGUCUGAUUAGCUAGUUGGGGAGGUAAAGGCUCACCAAGGCGACGAUCAGUAGCUGGUCUGAGAGGACGAUCAGCCACACUGGGACUGAGACACGGCCCAGACUCCUACGGGAGGCAGCAGUGGGGAAUUUUGGACAAUGGGGGCAACCCUGAUCCAGCAAUGCCGCGUGUGUGAAGAAGGCCUUCGGGUUGUAAAGCACUUUUGUCCGGAAGGAAAUCGCACUUACUAAUAUUAGGUGUGGAUGACGGUACCGGAAGAAUAAGGACCGGCUAACUACGUGCCAGCCGCCGCCGUAAAAC
rnacentral:rRNA from 1 species